rnacentral:rRNA from 1 species
GAUGAACGCUGGCGGCGUGCCUAAUACAUGCAAGUCGAGCGAACAGACGAGGAGCUUGCUCCUCUGACGUUAGCGGCGGACGGGUGAGUAACACGUGGAUAACCUACCUAUAAGACUGGGAUAACUUCGGGAAACCGGAGCUAAUACCGGAUAAUAUAUUGAACCGCAUGGUUCAAUAGUGAAAGACGGUUUUGCUGUCACUUAUAGAUGGAUCCGCGCCGCAUUAGCUAGUUGGUAAGGUAACGGCUUACCAAGGCAACGAUGCGUAGCCGACCUGAGAGGGUGAUCGGCCACACUGGAACUGAGACACGGUCCAGACUCCGACGGGAGGCAGCAGUAGGGAAUCUUCCGCAAUGGGCGAAAGCCUGACGGAGCAACGCCGCGUGAGUGAUGAAGGUCUUCGGAUCGUAAAACUCUGUUAUUAGGGAAGAACAAAAGUGUAAGUAACUAUGCACGUCUUGACGGUACCUAAUCAGAAAGCCACGGCUAACUACGUG